rnacentral:rRNA from 1 species
CCUACGGGCCGCAGCAGUGGGGAAUAUUGCACAAUGGGCGCAAGCCUGAUGCAGCCAUGCCGCGUGUAUGAAGAAGGCCUUCGGGUUGUAAAGUACUUUCAGCGGGGAGGAAGGGAGUAAGGUUAAUAACCUUAUUCAUUGACGUUACCCGCAGAAGAAGCACCGGCUAUCUCCGUGCCAGCAGCCGCGGUAAUACGGAGGGUGCAAGCGUUAAUCGGAAUUACUGGGCGUAAAGCGCACGCAGGCGGUCUGUCAAGUCGGAUGUGAAAUCCCCGGGCUCAACCUGGGAACUGCAUUCGGAACUGGCAGGCUAGAGUCUUGUAGAGGGGGGUAGAAUUCCAGGUGUAGCGGUGAAAUGCGUAGAGAUCUGGAGGGAUACCGGUGGCGAAGGCGGCCCCCUGGACAAAGACUGACGCUCAGGUGCGAAGGCGUGGGGAGCAAACAGGAUUAGAUACCCGCGUAGUC